rnacentral:rRNA from 1 species
UGGGGAAUAUUGCACAAUGGGCGCAAGCCUGAUGCAGCCAUGCCGCGUGUAUGAAGAAGGCCUUCGGGUUGUAAAGUACUUUCAGCGGGGAGGAAGGGAGUAAAGUUAAUACCUUUGCUCAUUGACGUUACCCGCAGAAGAAGCACCGGCUAACUCCGUGCCAGCAGCCGCGGUAAUACGGAGGGUGCAAGCGUUAAUCGGAAUUACUGGGCGUAAAGCGCACGCAGGCGGUUUGUUAAGUCAGAUGUGAAAUCCCCGGGCUCAACCUGGGAGCUGAAUCUGAUACUUGGAAGCUUGAGUCUCGUAGAGGGGGGUAGAAUUCCAGGUGUAGCGGUGAAAUGCGUAGAGAUCUGGAGGAAUACCGGUGGCGAAGGCGGCCCCCUUGACAAAGACUGACGCUCAGGUGCGAAAGCGUGGGGAGCAAACAGG